rnacentral:rRNA from 1 species
CACGGGGGGAGCAAGCGUUGUUCGGAAUUAUUGGGCGUAAAGGGCGCGUAGGCGGCUGUACAAGUCAAAGGUGAAAUCCCUCGGCUCAACUGAGGAACUGCCUUUGAAACUGUACGGCUUGAGGCCGGGAGGGGGUAGCGGAAUUCCCAGUGUAGCGGUGAAAUGCGUAGAUACUGGGAGGAACACCAGUGGCGAAGGCGGCUACCUGGACCGGUUCUGACGCUGAGGCGCGAAAGCGUGGGUAGCAAACAGG